UUUGGUCAUUUAGAGGAAGUAAAAGUCGUAACAAGGUUUCCGUAGGUGAACCUGCGGAAGGAUCAUUAUUGAAUAAACCUGAUGUGACUGUUAGCUGGCUUUUCGAAGCAUGUGCUCGUCCGUCAUCUUUAAUCUCUCCACCUGUGCACAUUUUGUAGUCUUGGAUACCUCUCGAGGCAACUCGGAUUUUAGGAUCGCCGUGCUGUAAAAGUCAGCUUUCCUCUCAUUUCCAAGACUAUGUUUUUAUAUACACCAAAGUAUGUUUAAAGAAUGUCAUCAAUAGGAACUUGUUUCCUAUAAAAUUAUACAACUUUCAGCAACGGAUCUCUUGGCUCUCGCAUCGAUGAAGAACGCAGCGAAAUGCGAUAAGUAAUGUGAAUUGCAGAAUUCAGUGAAUCAUCGAAUCUUUGAACGCACCUUGCGCUCCUUGGUAUUCCGAGGAGCAUGCCUGUUUGAGUGUCAUUAAAUUCUCAACCUUCCAGCUUUUAUUAGCUUGGUUAGGCUUGGAUGUGGGGGUUGUGGGCUUCAUUAAUGAGGUCAGCUCUCCUUAAAUGCAUUAGCGGAACUUUUGUGGACCGUCUAUUGGUGUGAUAAUUAUCUACGCCGUGGAUGUGAAGCAGCUUUAUGAAGUUCAGCUUCUAAUCGUCCAUUGACUUGGACAAUUUUUGACAAUUUGACCUCAAAUCAGGUAGGACUACCCGCUGAACUUAAGCAUAUCAAUAAGCGGAGGA
rnacentral:rRNA from 1 species